AUGAUGCCCAGCUUGCUGGGCGGAUUAGUGGCGAACGGGUGAGUAAUACGUGAGUAACCUGCCCUUGACUCUGGGAUAAGCCUGGGAAACUGGGUCUAAUACUGGAUACUACCUCUUACCGCAUGGUGGGUGGUGGAAAGGGUUUUACUGGUUUUGGAUGGGCUCACGGCCUAUCAGCUUGUUGGUGGGGUAAUGGCUCACCAAGGCGACGACGGGUAGCCGGCCUGAGAGGGUGACCGGCCACACUGGGACUGAGACACGGCCCAGACUCCUACGGGAGGCAGCAGUGGGGAAUAUUGCACAAUGGGCGGAAGCCUGAUGCAGCGACGCCGCGUGAGGGAUGACGGCCUUCGGGUUGUAAACCUCUUUCAGUAGGGAAGAAGCGAGAGUGACGGUACCUGCAGAAGAAGCGCCGGCUAACUACGUGCCAGCAGCCGCGGUAAUACGUAGGGCGCAAGCGUUGUCCGGAAUUAUUGGGCGUAAAGAGCUCGUAGGCGGUUUGUCGCGUCUGCUGUGAAAGCCCGGGGCUCAACCCCGGGUCUGCAGUGGGUACGGGCAGACUAGAGUGCAGUAGGGGAGACUGGAAUUCCUGGUGUAGCGGUGAAAUGCGCAGAUAUCAGGAGGAACACCGAUGGCGAAGGCAGGUCUCUGGGCUGUUACUGACGCUGAGGAGCGAAAGCAUGGGGAGCGAACAGGAUUAGAUACCCUGGUAGUCCAUGCCGUAAACGUUGGGCACUAGGUGUGGGGGACAUUCCACGUUUUCCGCGCCGUAGCUAACGCAUUAAGUGCCCCGCCUGGGGAGUACGGCCGCAAGGCUAAAACUCAAAGGAAUUGACGGGGGCCCGCACAAGCGGCGGAGCAUGCGGAUUAAUUCGAUGCAACGCGAAGAACCUUACCAAGGCUUGACAUUCACCGGACCGCCCCAGAGAUGGGGUUUCCCUUCGGGGCUGGUGGACAGGUGGUGCAUGGUUGUCGUCAGCUCGUGUCGUGAGAUGUUGGGUUAAGUCCCGCAACGAGCGCAACCCUCGUUCUAUGUUGCCAGCACGUGAUGGUGGGGACUCAUAGGAGACUGCCGGGGUCAACUCGGAGGAAGGUGGGGAUGACGUCAAAUCAUCAUGCCCCUUAUGUCUUGGGCUUCACGCAUGCUACAAUGGCCGGUACAAAGGGUUGCGAUACUGUGAGGUGGAGCUAAUCCCAAAAAGCCGGUCUCAGUUCGGAUUGAGGUCUGCAACUCGACCUCAUGAAGUCGGAGUCGCUAGUAAUCGCAGAUCAGCAACGCUGCGGUGAAUACGUUCCCGGGCCUUGUACACACCGCCCGUCAAGUCACGAAAGUUGGUAACACCCGAAGCCGGUGGCCUAACCCCUUGUGGGAGGGAGCC
rnacentral:rRNA from 1 species